rnacentral:rRNA from 1 species
GAACCUGCGGAAGGAUCAUUAUCUAUUCAUGAAAUACGGGAGUGCAACAGCCCUCUGGGGCUCCUUAAAUGGGUGACCCCCCUGUGGACACGCCCCGUACUCUCAUUGAAAUCCCAUCUGUGUAUAUGACUUCUGUUGCUUCCCACAAAGUGGACGCUUGGGUGUAGAAUCCCUAGGGUUAGCCUGUGGGGAGGAAGACAUAAACUCUAUUUGUUGUAUUGUUAGUCUGAGUGGUUAUCACAUAAAACAAGUUAAAACUUUCAACAACGGAUCUCUUGGUUCUCGCAUCGAUGAAGAACGCAGCGAAAUGCGAUAAGUAGUGUGAAUUGCAGAAUUCAGUGAAUCAUCGAAUCUUUGAACGCACAUUGCGCCUUCUGGUAUUCCGGAAGGCAUGCCUGUUCGAGCGUCAUCAAACACAUCCUCAAGCAGCUUUGCUUGGUAUUGGAGGAAGAUGUCCGCAUCCCCUCUCAAAUCUCUCAGCGGAAACCUCUGCAGUCUCAGGUGUGAUAAUUAUUUUUCGCUUGAUGACUGUGGGUAUGUUCUUGCUGUUAAGAGCCCCCCAGCUUCUUUUUGAGUUUGACCUCGGAUCAGGUAGGGAUACCCGCUGAACUUAAGCAUAUCAAUAAGCGGAGGAAAAGAAACCAACAGGGAUUGCCUCAGUAACUGCGAGUGAAGCGGCAAAAGCUCAAAUUUGAAAUCUGGUACCUUUGGGUGCUCGAGUUGUAAUUUGGAGAGGCAACUUCGGAGGAGGCGCUGGCCUAAGUUCCUUGGAACAGGACGUCACAGAGGGUGAGAAUCCCGUGCUUGGCUGGCUGUCCUCCUUCAUGUGAAGUGUCU